CUUUGUACCGCCCUCUCCCGCACCCUUAAGAGAGGCUGGUACUGUGAGGCCGUUUAAUUCUAUCAAGGAAAAAGAAGUAACCUCCAGGCAAUUGUCCAUUUCUUCUACUCGUUUCAACUGCACUUUUUUGAAAUAAUUGAGAAGCAGAGUUAAAGGUUACAUCUGAUGAACACAAGGAAUACAGCUCUCUUUGACAGAUGUGAAAGGAUACAGCCACGGGCCAAAUCACUCACCAAACUGAGUAGAGAUGAUACCCUUAUCAAUAUAAAAAGGGAGCCCAAAGAUUUGGUGGCCAGAAGAGAAGACCACUCGCCUCUGCAUGUAGAAGGGCAAGAGCAUCGAAGACCAUGCAGAAAAUGUGAAGAGGAAAAAGAAUAUGUCCCACAGUUAUAG
rnacentral:lncRNA from 1 species